UUUUUGGUCAAGCUACGAAGGGCAUACGGUGGAUGCCUUGGCACGAGAAGGCGAUGAAGGACGUGGUAUGCUGCGAUAAGCUCCGGGUAGGUGCCAAACAACCGUUGAUCCGGAGAUCUCCGAAUGGGGUAACCCUUCCCGAGUCAUGUCGGGAAACGUCCUGCUGAAUUCAUAGGCAGGAACGAGCCAACGGAGGGAAGUGAACCAUCUCAGUACCUCCAGGAAAAGAAAGCAAUUGCGAUUCCCUAAGUAGUGGCGAGCGAAAGGGGAAAAGCCUAAACCGAUGCUGUGUUCAAGUCUGGACGCGUUGCAGUAUCGGGGUUGCGGGAUCCAACCGGGACCUGGUCCAGCAGGUCCGGAAAGUUACAAAAUGGUUUCCUAGCCGAAUGGUUCUGGAAAGGCCAAUCAUAGAAGGUGAUAAUCCUGUAGGCGAAAGGAAGACCAUCUUUCUGGGUUGGAUUCCCAAGUACCGCGGGACACGUGGAAUCCUGUGGGAAUCUGGGUAGACCACUAUCCAAGGCUAAAUACUCUCUCGUGACCGAUAGUGAACCAGUACCGUGAGGGAAAGGUGAAAAGCACCCCUGUUAGGGGAGUGAAAUAGAACCUGAAACCGUAUGCUUACAAUCAGUCGGAGCCCCAAUUUUUGGGGUGACGGCGUGCCUUUUGCUUAAUGAGCUAGCGAGUUACCGUAUGUUGCGAGGUUAAUCUGUUAAGCAGAGAAGCCGUAGCGAAAGCGAGUCCGAAUAGGGCGUUUAGUAACAUGCGGUAGACCCGAAACCGGGUGAUCUACCCAUGGCCAGGAUGAAGUCUCGGUAACACGAGAUGGAGGUCCGAACCGGUGUCAGUUGAAAAUGGCUCGGAUGAGCUGUGGGUAGGGGUGAAAGGCCAACCAAACUCGGUGAUAGCUGGUUCUCCUCGAAAUAGCUUUAGGGCUAGCCUCGUGUUAGUGUCGCGGAGGUAGAGCACUGUCUGGAGUAGGGACCUUUUGGUUACCGAAUCCUAGCAAACUCCGAAUUCCGCGUACAUGAUGCACGGGAGUCAGGCCGUGUGGGCUAAGCUUCACGGCCGAGAGGGAAACAACCCAGAUCACCGGCUAAGGCCCCUAAAUGCAGACUAAGUGGGAAAGGAUGUGAAACUACUUAGACAACCAGGAUGUUGGCUUAGAAGCAGCCAUCAUUUAAAGAGUGCGUAAUAGCUCACUGGUCAAGUGGUUUUGCGCCGAAAAUGAUCGGGACUCAAGUCUGCUGCCGAAGCCGUGGAUAGCUCUUUUGGAUUUCCAAAAGAGCUGUGGUAGAGGAGCAUUCCACUCACCUGCGAAGGUAAACCGUGAGGUUUGCUGGAGGAAGUGGAAAAGAGGAUGCUAGCAUGAGUAGCGACAAUUCCGGUGAAAAUCCGGAACACCGAAAAUCUAAGGUUUCCUGAGUAAAGUUCGUCUGCUCAGGGUUAGUCGGACCCUAAGCUGAGGCCGAAAGGCGUAGGCGAUGGAAAACGGGUUAAUAUUCCCGUACCACUUACAGUCCGUUUGACCUAUGGGGGGACGCAGGGGUGAAAGGUCAGGCCCGUGUUGGAAUACGGGCUCUAAGCGAGUAGGUGGGAGGAGCAGGAAAAUCCGUUCCUCCAUAACACCGAGACGCGAAUGGGAGGCCUCUGGCCACAAACUGACCCUAAUCGCACUGCCGAGAAAAGCCUCUAUGGGAGGACUGUGGGUGACCGUACCGGAAACCGACACAGGUAGAUGGGGAGAAUAUCCUCAGGUGCGCGAGAUAGCCAUGGUUAAGGAACUAGGCAAGUUAACCCCGUAACUUCGGCAGAAGGGGUGCCUCUUGUAGGUGAAUUCCCUCGCGGAAGGAGCCGAAAGAGGUCGCAGGGAAACGGCUCUGGCGACUGUUUAACAAAAACACAGGUCUCUGCUAAGUCGUAAAGACGACGUAUAGGGACUGACACCUGCCCGGUGCCGGAAGGUUAAGGGAAUGCGUUAUCCUAUAGCAAUAUAGGAGAAGCGCUGCACCGAAGCCCCGGUAAACGGCGGCCGUAACUAUAACGGUCCUAAGGUAGCGAAAUUCCUUGUCGGGUAAGUUCCGACCUGCACGAAUGGUGUAACGACUGGAGCGCUGUCUCGACCAUGGCCUCGGCGAAAUUGUUGUGGCGGUGAAGAAGCCGCCUACCCGCAUAUGGACGGAAAGACCCCGUGAACCUUCACUGCACCCUAACAUUGGGUUUUGGCAAAACAUGUGUAGGAUAGGUGGGAGGCUGUGAAGCCCGGACGCCAGUUCGGGUGGAGCCGUCGUUGAAAUACCACCCUUGUUCUGUCGGAAUUCUAACUGAAGGCCUUGAAUCAGGUCUCAGGACAGUGUUAGGCGGGUAGUUUGACUGGGGCGGUCGCCUCCUAAAGUGUAACGGAGGCGCCCAAAGGUUCCCUCAGCACGAUUGGUAACCGUGCGUAGAGUGCAAAGGCACAAGGGAGCUUAACUGCGAGACUCACAAGUCGAGCAGGUGCGAAAGCAGGGCUUAGUGAUCCGGCGGUUCUGUGUGGAAGGGCCGUCGCUCAACGGAUAAAAGGUACUCCGGGGAUAACAGGCUUAUCGGGUCCAAGAGUCCACAUCGACGACCCGGUUUGGCACCUCGAUGUCGGCUCAUCGCAUCCUGGGGCUGGAGCAGGUCCCAAGGGUUUGGCUGUUCGCCAAUUAAAGCGGUACGUGAGCUGGGUUCAGAACGUCGCAAGACAGUUCGGUCCCUAUCCUAUGCGGGCGUAGGAGAUUUGAGGGGAGCUGUUCCUAGUACGAGAGGACCGGAACGGACGAGCCUCUAGUGUACCAGUUGUUCCGCCAGGAGCAGUGCUGGGUAGCUAUGCUCGGACGGGAUAACCGCUGAAAGCAUCUAAGCGGGAAGCCCACCCCAAGACUAGAUCUCCCUUUCCACUUCGGUGGAACGGUAGGCUCCUGGGAGAUGACCAGGUUGAUAGGCCGGAGGUGAACGUGUGGUAACACACUCAGCCGACCGGUACUAAUUAGCCGUGCGGCUUGAUCAUAAUUUUUUAAUG
rnacentral:rRNA from 1 species